UACGUAGGGCGCAAGCGUUGUCCGGAAUUAUUGGGCGUAAAGAGCUCGUAGGCGGUUUGUCGCGUCUGCUGUGAAAUCCCGAGGCUCAACCUCGGGCUUGCAGUGGGUACGGGCAGACUAGAGUGCGGUAGGGGAGACUGGAAUUCCUGGUGUAGCGGUGGAAUGCGCAGAUAUCGGGAGGAACACCAGUAGCGAAGGCGGCACUCUGGGCCGGUACUGACGCUGAGGAGCGAAAGUGUGGGGAGCGAACAGG
rnacentral:rRNA from 1 species